rnacentral:rRNA from 1 species
UAAGGAAUAUUGCUCAAUGGGAGAAAUCCUGAAGCAGCAACGCCGCGUGGAGGACGAAGGGUCUAUGACUUGUAGACUCCUGUAAAGAAGGAAAAAAUUCCCAUUUGAUGGGAGAUGAUGGUACUUCUGGAGUAAGCCCCGGCUAACUACGUGCCAGCAGCCGCGGUAAUACGUAGGGGGCAAGCGUUGUCCGGAUUUACUGGGUGUAAAGGGUGCUCAGGCGGAUUUGUAAGUCAGAGGUGAAAUCUUACAGCUUAACUGUGAAACUGCCUUUGAUACUGCAAGCCUAGAGUAUGGAAGAGAGUGAUGGAAUAUCUGGUGUAGCAGUGAAAUGCGUAGAUAUCAGAUAGAACACCAAUGGCGAAGGCAGUCACUUGGUCCAUUACUGACGCUAAAGCACGAAAGCGUGGGUAGCAAACA